UCAAACUUGGUCAUUUAGAGGAAGUAAAAGUCGUAACAAGGUUUCCGUAGGUGAACCUGCGGAAGGAUCAUUAUCGAAUUGUUGAGACUUGGUUGUCGCUGGCUCUCUCUUUCGCUGAGAUUGCAUGUGCACGCCUAGUUCAAACUUUUCAUUUCAACCUCCUGUGCACCUUUGUGGAUCGUAGACAAACUUUUGUCAAAGUAACAUUUGGUUUUGGGGAUUGUGGUUUUGCUUUCCUCUAUUGUUUUGUCUGCGGUUCAUGUUUUCUACAAACUAUUAAAUAUAAAAUCUAGAAUGCUUCAUAAGUUGGGACUUUAUUGACCCUUCUUAACAAUCUUAUACAAUUUUCAACAACGGAUCUCUUGGCUCUCGCAUCGAUGAAGAACGCAGC
rnacentral:misc_RNA from 1 species